GUGCCAGCCGCGCGGUAAUACCGGCAGCCCGAGUGAUGGCCGAUCUUAUUGGGCCUAAAGCGUCCGUAGCUGGCUGCGCAAGUCCGUCGGGAAAUCCACGUGCUUAACGCGUGGGCGACCGGCGGAAACUGUUCGGCUUGGGGCCGGAGGACCCGAGGGGUACGUCCGGGGUAGGAGUGAAAUCCUAUAAUCCCGCACGGACCACCGAUGGCGAAAGCACUUCGAGAAAACGGAUCCGACAGUGAGGGACGAAAGCCAGGGUCUCCAACCGGAUUAGAUACCCCUGUAGUCC
rnacentral:rRNA from 1 species